GAUGAACUUUAGCUACAGGCUUAACACAUGCAAGUCGAGGGGCAGCAUGGUCUUAGCUUGCUAAGGCCGAUGGCGACCGGCGCACGGGUGAGUAACACGUAUCCAACCUGCCGUCUACUCUUGGACAGCCUUCUGAAAGGAAGAUUAAUACAAGAUGGCAUCAUGAGUCCGCAUGUUCACAUGAUUAAAGGUAUUCCGGUAGACGAUGGGGAUGCGUUCCAUUAGAUAGUAGGCGGGGUAACGGCCCACCUAGUCUUCGAUGGAUAGGGGUUCUGAGAGGAAGGUCCCCCACAUUGGAACUGAGACACGGUCCAAACUCCUACGGGAGGCAGCAGUGAGGAAUAUUGGUCAAUGGGCGAGAGCCUGAACCAGCCAAGUAGCGUGAAGGAUGACUGCCCUAUGGGUUGUAAACUUCUUUUAUAAAGGAAUAAAGUCGGGUAUGGAUACCCGUUUGCAUGUACUUUAUGAAUAAGGAUCGGCUAACUCCGUGCCAGCAGCCGCGGUAAUACGGAGGAUCCCAGCGUUAUCCGGAUUUAUUGGGUUUAAAGGGAGCGUAGAUGGAUGUUUAGUCAGUUGUGAAAGUUUGCGGCUCCACCCUAAAAUUGCAGUUGAUACUGGAUAUCUUGAGUGUUGUUGAGGCAGGCGGAAUUCGUGGUGUAGCGGUGAAAUGCUUAGAUAUCACGAAGAACUCCGAUUGCGAAGGCAGCCUGCUAAGCUGCAACUGACAUUGAGGCUCGAAAGUGUGGGUAUCAAACAGGAUUAGAUACCCUGGUAGUCCACACGGUAAACGAUGAAUACUCGCUGUUUGCGAUAUACAGCAAGCGGCCAAGCGAAAGCGUUAAGUAUUCCACCUGGGGAGUACGCCGGCAACGGUGAAACUCAAAGGAAUUGACGGGGGCCCGCACAAGCGGAGGAACAUGUGGUUUAAUUCGAUGAUACGCGAGGAACCUUACCCGGGCUUAAAUUGCAGAUGAAUUACGGUGAAAGCCGUAAGCCGCAAGGCAUCUGUGAAGGUGCUGCAUGGUUGUCGUCAGCUCGUGCCGUGAGGUGUCGGCUUAAGUGCCAUAACGAGCGCAACCCUUGUUGUCAGUUACUAACAGGUUCCGCUGAGGACUCUGACAAGACUGCCAUCGUAAGAUGUGAGGAAGGUGGGGAUGACGUCAAAUCAGCACGGCCCUUACGUCCGGGGCUACACACGUGUUACAAUGGGGGGUACAGAGGGCCGCUACCACGCGAGUGGAUGCCAAUCCCAAAAGCCUCUCUCAGUUCGGACUGGAGUCUGCAACCCGACUCCACGAAGCUGGAUUCGCUAGUAAUCGCGCAUCAGCCACGGCGCGGUGAAUACGUUCCCGGGCCU
rnacentral:rRNA from 1 species